CAGUUCCCCAGAGAGACUCUACCAGGAAGGAGAAGAGGGGUGUGCUCUCUGUUCAGGGUGAAGAGCAAACUGGGGACCCAGCUGUAAGCAAGUGUCUGUGAGGUAGAAAUUCAGGAGUAACGUGGGUGGGCAGCUCCGGUAUAACAACUGUUAUAAGCUGCAGUCAAGGUGUGGUCUACAGUCAUCUGACGGCGUCACCUGGAAGCCUUCAGGAUGAAUCCACUUCAGGAUGGCCCACUCAUGUAGCAGACAAAUCAGCUCUGGUGCAGAGUGGGAAGACAGUCCAUGGGCCAGUGGGGAUCACGAGGUCAGUAUGGGAAAGAAGCACUGUGAAGCCAGGCCACACAGCUAUCGAUGCACGGAUGACACCGAAGGACAAGCCUGGGCAUCCUACCUUCGACGCUCGUAAGCUCUGGAAAACCCCCGAUCUGACAAGAAAAUCUGAGACUCACAGAGAAUAAAUGCCUUCUGGAAGUCACACAGCCUUUCAGAAGAGGAACCCGAGUGGUCUGGCUGCAGCCCCAGGCAGAGGGCACUGAGAACGCAGGCUUUCAGCUGCCUCCACACCAGCAGGCCACCCAGCGAGCACGGACAGCAGCACUCACGUCCACCAGCAGGGAGGGCCACCUGGAAGUCCUUCCAGGGCACAGGUCAUGGCUAAGCAAGGGGUUUAGAGUUUCUCGGGACAGGGCGCCUCCCCACAGAGGCUGGGCCCAGACCUGGUGGCGGAGGGUCCUUAGAUGCCCAGCACGAGGGGCCAGGGCAGAGGUCAAGUCUCUUGUAACCAGAGAGCCCGGCUCUGCUGGGGCCACGCGUGUCAACGUGCUAAUAUUUCAUGAUUGCGACUCGGUCUCUCACUUCCACGUUCCCUCCAGGGCCAUUGGUGCAAAGCGAUACCUGCCGGCUGCACUCCGAUUAUUUUACAGCCCUCCCCGCUCCAGCUGCACCCGCCUCUCCUCUGGUUUCUUUUCCCUCCUAGUUCCCAGCAGGUGGGGUGGGGGUGGAGGCAUUAGAACAGAGGGGCAGGAACGUAGGAAGACAUGACCUUCACUUUUCUACCACCCUCUGCCAGGGAGGUUUGAGACGCAGCCGUCCUGGCAGGAGAGGCAGUGUCUGUUUACGCGGUACCUACCUGCGCCAGGCCUUCCGAGGACUCUGUGUACAGAACGCACCAGAUCCCCACGCAGCCUGGGCAGUGGGGGAAGGCUUCGAGCUGUCUGCUGCUGAGUCUGCCUAGGGCAGAAGGAAGACUCUGGGUGGCCGAGUCAAACAGGACACAAGAGACCACUCUUGUCCAGUGUUCACAUUUUUCAGAGGAGCCUCUCCUCCCUAAGGCAGAUGGCUUUGCAGUCGCAGUCAGGCUGAGAGGUCAGCUUUCCACCCCCCGGUACCCACCGUCAACCCCCUCACUCGAAUCCAUCCCAGAUGGGAGAAUGCUGAGGAAAGCUUGGGGCAGAGUGGGCCCGGCUACGUGAAGAGAAAGUUCAUUUGAGCAAAUAAUAGAAAAAGUGGCCAACAUGCCAAACCUAUAAUUAAAAAAAAAAA